rnacentral:rRNA from 1 species
UGCCAGCCGCCGCGGUAAUACGGAGGAUCCAAGCGUUGAUCGGAAUCACUGGGCGUAAAGCGUGUGUGGGCUGCGCGGAAAGUCAAAUGUGAAAGCCCGGGGCUCAACCUCGGAACAGCAUUUUGAACUGGCAGACUAGAGUCUUGUAGAGGGGGGUAGAAUUUCAGGUGUAGCGGUGAAAUGCGUAGAGAUCUGAAGGAAUACCGGUGGCGAAGGCGGCCCCCUGGACAAAGACUGACGCUCAGGUGCGAAAGCGUGGGGAGCAAACAGGAUUAGAUA